rnacentral:misc_RNA from 1 species
AUAUCAACUAAUUACAAUUAAUGAAAAAUGAAUUAAUGAAAAUGUAACAAAUUUCAUUAUCCAAUAAUUUCAUUUAUUUUAUAUAAAGAAUUUCUACUAUUGGUCAAUUAUAGUUAUUUAUUAAGAAAUGUUGGCAUGACUAAAUAAGUCUUAAAGAAAUUCCCGCCAAUUCAUACAUACUUUUUAGUUUAAGCUUAAAGUAGGAAGAAAGAAGAAUUAUUCUUAUUAAUGUUAUAAGUAUUUUUAUUUACGGACUCGUUUGAUUGCCGCGAUAUUUCGAUACAAUGGAUUCUAGUCCAGCACGUUCUGAUAGACAUACAGAAGCAAUGACAUCUCCUGCACCAGAAAUAGAUGAACCAUUUGAAGAUGAAUCUGAUUUACUUGGCAAUGACAAUGAUGUUAAUCAGGAAGAAGAAGAAGAAGAAGGGGAGGAAUUAUUUGGAGAUAAUAUGGAAGCUGAUUAUCGUCCUAUGCCAGAAUUAGAUAGAUAUGAUCCAGAUGUAGUAGAUGAUGAGGAUUAUUCAGAAAUGUCUCAAGGAGAACGUGCAGCUGCUGAAGCUGCUAUGCGUAAAAGAGAUCGGGCAGCAGGCAUUAUCAGAGAUGAUAGAUAUUUACUUUAUGAUGAAAGUGAUGAAGAAGAAAUGCAAGCUCGUAAAAGACGUAUAGCUGAAAAAGCAGCAAUAGGUGAAAUUGAAGACACAGAAAUGAUUGAAUCUAUUGAAAAUUUAGAAGAUACCAAAGGUCAUUCAGUUAAAGAAUGGGUGUCUAUGUUAGGACCUAAAACUGAAAUUUCUAAUCGUUUUAAAAGCUUUCUUCGUACACAUACCAAUUCAAAAGGACAGUAUAUGUAUAAAGAACGAAUUCGUCAUAUGUGCGAGAGUAAUCAAUCUAGCUUUAUUGUGGAAUUCCCUAUACUUGCUAGUAAAGAGCAUGUAUUGGCAUAUUUUUUACCAGAAGCACCGUUUCAAAUGUUAGAAAUAUUUGAUGAAGUAGCAAAAGAAUUGGUAUUAACUAUAUUUCCUAGUUAUGAAAGAGUUACAAGUGAGAUUCAUGUUAGAAUAUCAGAAUUACCAUUAAUAGAAGAAAUUCGUACAUUUAGGAAAUUACAUUUGAAUCAACUAGUCCGUACUCUAGGAGUUGUUACUGCAACCACAGGAGUAUUACCACAAUUGUCUGUUGUAAAAUAUGAUUGUACAAAAUGUGGAUAUAUACUUGGUCCUUUUGUACAAAAUCAAAAUACUGAAGUUAAACCUGGUUCAUGUCCUGAAUGUCAAAGCAUUGGACCUUUCAUGAUUAAUAUGGAGCAAACAAUAUAUAGAAAUUAUCAAAAAAUUACAAUUCAAGAAUCACCAGGCAAAAUUCCUGCAGGAAGAAUUCCUAGAAGUAAAGAAUGUAUUCUUUUAUCAGAUCUCUGUGAUCGUUGUAAACCCGGGGAUGAAGUAGAUGUUACAGCUAUUUAUACGAAUAAUUAUGAUGGUUCUUUGAAUACAGAACAAGGUUUUCCAGUAUUUGCAACGGUUCUUCUUGCUAAUCAUUUACAAGUAAAAGAUUCUAAAGAAAUUGUAGAAUCUUUGACUGAAGAAGAUGUUUCUAGUAUUAUUGGUUUAAGCAAAGAUCAUCAAAUUACUGAUCGCAUUAUUGCAAGUAUUGCCCCUUCAAUUUAUGGUCAUGAAUAUACAAAGAGAGCUUUAGCAUUAGCAAUAUUUGGAGGAGAGCCAAAAAAUCCUGGUAAUAAGCAUAAAGUCAGAGGAGAUAUCAAUGUGUUAUUAUGUGGAGAUCCAGGAACAGCUAAAUCUCAAUUUUUAAAAUAUGUUGAAAAAAUUGCACCAAGAUCAGUAUUUACAACAGGUCAGGGAGCUUCGGCCGUAGGAUUAACUGCUUUUGUAAGAAAAUCACCAACCACUCGUGAGUGGACAUUAGAAGCUGGUGCCCUAGUUCUUGCUGAUCAUGGAAUUUGUCUUAUUGAUGAAUUUGAUAAGAUGAAUGAUCAAGAUAGAACAUCUAUUCAUGAAGCUAUGGAACAACAAAGUAUUUCCAUUUCAAAAGUUGGAAUUGUUACAUCACUUAAUGCUAGAUGUUCAGUAAUAGCUGCAUCUAAUCCCAUUGGAGGAAGAUAUGAUGCUAGUAUGACAUUUUCAGAAAAUGUAGAUUUAUCAGAACCAAUUUUAUCUCGUUUUGAUAUUCUUUGUGUGGUAAAAGAUGAAAUAGAUCCUAUGCAAGAUCGACAUUUGGCAAAAUUUGUUGUAAACUCUCAUAUAAAACAUCAUCCAACAAAUGCAGGAAAAGUAAUAUCUACUAUAGAUAAUACACAUGAUAUAUCUAUUCCACAAGAUCUUUUAAAAAAAUAUAUAGUUUAUGCACGACAAAAUAUUCAUCCUAAAUUAACGAAUAUUGAUCAAGAUAAAGUAGCAAAAUUAUACAGUCAAUUAAGACAAGAAAGUUUGCUUACCAAUUACCGUACGACACAUAGAAAGUAUUAUACGUAUGGCAGAAGCAAGUGCUAAAAUGCAUUUGCGUGAUCAUGUUCAAGAAACUGAUAUCAAUCUUGCCAUUAGAAUGAUGCUUGAUAGUUUUGUUGAUACACAAAAAUAUUCAGUAAUGAAAAGUAUGCGCCAAACCUUCCAAAAAUAUCUAUCAUUCCAGAAAAAUCAUACUGAACUUCUAUAUUAUAUACUUAGACAGCUUACAUUAGAUACUUUAGCAUUUCAAAAAGCUAUUCGCGGAAAUCGUAUUACAACAAUUGAAAUUUCAGAAAAAGAUUUAUUAGAUCGGGCUAAACAAAUCGAUAUACACAAUCUUCAACCAUUUUAUGAAAGUGAUAUUUUCAAAUCAAAUAAUUUUAUUUAUGAUUCAAAAAGAAAAGUAAUAAUACAAACACUUCCUGAAACUAUUGAUGAUUGAAGAAACACUAAAAAUAAUUAGGAAUGCAAUUAUAAUUUUAUUUACAACAUGAUAUUGUUCAUCAUAUUAACAUAAUUUUUACAAUGAAUUAUAUUUUGAUAUAUUAGUUCA